rfam:Mesocricetus auratus contig097187, whole genome shotgun sequence.
GUGGGUGUAGCUCAGUUGGUAGAGCGCUUGCCUAACAUACGUGAAGCCCUGGGUUUGAUUCCCUGCACUGCAUA